rnacentral:rRNA from 1 species
UACGUAGGCAGCAAGCGUUGUUCGGAGUUACUGGGCGUAAAGGGUGUGUAGGCGGUCCCCUAAGUUUGGUGUGAAAUCUCCCGGCUCAACUGGGAGGGUGCGCCGAAAACUGGAGGGCUAGAGUACUGGAUGGGAGAGUGGAAUUCCUGGUGUAGCGGUGAAAUGCGUAGAUAUCAGGAGGAACACCUGUGGUGUAGACGGCUCUCUGGACAGUAACUGACGCUGAGACACGAAAGCGUGGGUAGCAAACAGG